GAAAUUUAACGGAUUUGGCGGCAAGAUAGCCCCUUAGAGGAACCUGCCCAGUAAACGAUGAACCACGAAUGACACAACUUUUCUUUGAAAUCAGUUUGUAUAUCGCUGUUGUCAGUUAGAUUCUUGAGAAUAUUUUCAUUUAUGAUAAAGUCAUUGACUUCAAGUAAAGGUGCAGCUUAUAGAAAAGGUAGAGGUGGGUUACAUUUAUGUGAAUAAAACGGAUAAGAUAAGAGAAAUAGUCUUUGAAGGUGGAUUUAACUGUAAAGCUUAAAGAAGCUUGGUGAGAGCUCUAUCUUGUGUACACACCGCCCGUC
rnacentral:rRNA from 1 species